GAUAGCGCUUUUUAUGGUACGUGCUAGUGAUUAAAAUAUUUCCCACUCCCGCUACUACUCUUCUUGCAAUUUGAUUUUCACUCCAAGCUUCGUCUCGCGCUGCUCUUGCUUUCACUGUGCUGCUCCUUCGCGUUGCUCCUUCGCGCUGCUCCCCGGUUUGAUUCGCGCUUCUCCUCCGUUUGAUCAGUGGUUAGGGCUCCUCUCCUUCGUUUCAUCAGCGUUAGCGCUCCUUCUCCUCCGUUCACAGUACGUUAGGGCUCCUUCUCCUCCGUUCACAGUGCGUUAAGGCCCCAUCCCCUCCGUUUCAUCAGUGCGUUAGGUGCCUUCGGCGGUUCUCCUUCAAUUUGACGUGUACGUCUUUGCUCNCUCCUUCAGUGCACUCCCAUUUCUCCUCCGUUUUAGGACUUCCAUUUUCAGGUGUUGAUCGUGCCAUUGGUGUACUGGGUGUAGAAUCUAUGUUCGCUUCGGGCAAACCCUGAGGGAGAACAACACUCCUCUUGAUUUGAAUGGGGUCCAAUGUCUCACGAUUUUGAGUUUGGUCAUGGAGAACAAGAAAUUCCAGGUAUGGAGAGUUAUUUUAGUGUGAUUGAUUGCUUGUAUGUGGUAUGAUUUGGGAUUUAGAUGUCACUUAUUGGUGAAACCAGCGAUGCAGAAAAUAAUGUGUUCGAUUUGGGAGCAUUUGUCGGUGACCUAGCUUUGGAAGAGGAUCCGAGCACGUUUUCUUUGCUUUAUACCACAUUUAGUUUCAAUUCGUACACUUUGAAGCCUGAAACUUUGGAAUCAAAAUUGCAUUGCUAGUUGAUUCAUGUGUUUCGGUUAACUUUUGCAGCGAUUAUAUAUCGUUGGAAGGACCAGAGCAUCGAUGAAAAUUUUAAUUGCUACUCUAAUUUAUAUUCCUUGUGGUUAGUUUGAGUAUUUGAUAAAAGUGUGGUUGUUUUACCAGCUUUAUGGAUUCAUGUGGUUUGUGCCUUGUAAAUUUUAACAUUAUGUGCAGGAACUUGGAGAGUUGGUGGUAUUCUUGCUGUUUCUCGUGCAUUUGGUGAUAGACUCCUGAAGCAGUAUGUUGUUGCUGGUCUAGAAAUACAGGUGAGUUUACAAUAUAUCUCAUAUUGUUAGAUCCAUAAAUAUCUGUGUACAGAGUGCAUGAUUUACUAUAUGAAACAUCCAUUCAGUAAAUUAGAGACCAAACUCUGCUUCAUAUGUACUAUAGCAAAUCAUAAAAUCGUUUAUAUCUUACUGGACUGGACCGUUUCAAGGCCUCUGAAACUGGAUUGAAGGAAUCUGUAAAUUACCAAGUCAUUUCUCCUUAUGAUCUGGCAAAGUCUGUUAUAUCUGAAGUUAGCUGGUCAAAUUUUCUGAUAUUAUCUUUAUCUUCGUGAUUGGUUUAUGACUAUGUACUCUGCAAUUCUCUCUCCCCUCAACCUUUAUGAAUGGUAGACUGAUUGAUUGGGCCAGGGUGCUGCUACUAGAACAGGAGAGGUUGUUGGAAGGAUGUCAGGUGAUAUUGUUCUUAUUCAAGAUGCCAUGGGUGAAAAUGUAUUAAUUUUAAUGAACCACCUUACAAGUCUUAAACCAUUAUCUUGUCUUUUGAGGUAAAAAUUGUUUCUUUUCAGGUAGGACAGUUCUUACAGUGAUUGACAACUUCCGUUGGAGGUUUUGUAAUAGCAUUCAUCAGGGGAUGGCUUCUAACUGUUUUCAUGUUAUUUUGCAGAUUAUGCAUUUUGCAGAGGCAGGGGAUAAAGCAAGGAAUUUCUUCUAAAAAACAUGCUUAACAUACCUUUAGUUCAAUCUUGUGACGGCUAACAAGUCAACUCAGGUUGAAAAGCAGANGAAGCAAGUGCAGAUUAAACCAAAUGUNGAAAUCUGUCUGUCUCAAUGAUUUAAAGCUUGUUCUUGGACCAGAGUUGAAGAUAGUUUUGAUUAUAAAAUUGCAGUUGUGAACUUUUCUUACACAUACGGUGUGUUCAAAGUUGAGUAUUUUUCUAGUUGCAGAUGCCAACAUUAUCAUGAAAGUCAGAUCAAUGAAGUUAGGGAAAAUUGGUGUUUUCAUGUAAUUAGUACAUAUAGGUUAUGUUAUGGUGAUGUACAGUACUGAUUGGAUAUAUAUGUUAUGGUUGUAUAUAUUAUCUUAUAAAAGCAGUGUCAUGUGAUGACAUGUACUAAACGACUUAAUG